GAUGAACGCUAGCUACAGGCUUAACACAUGCAAGUCGAGGGGAAACGAUAGAGAAAGCUUGCUUUUUCUAGGCGUCGACCGGCGCACGGGUGAGUAACGCGUAUCCAACCUGCCCAUCACUUGGGGAUAACCUUGCGAAAGUAAGACUAAUACCCAAUGACGUCUCUAGAAGACAUCUGAAAGAGAUUAAAGAUCUAUCGGUGAUGGAUGGGGAUGCGUCUGAUUAGCUUGUUGGCGGGGUAACGGCCCACCAAGGCGACGAUCAGUAGGGGUUCUGAGAGGAAGGUCCCCCACAUUGGAACUGAGACACGGUCCAAACUCCUACGGGAGGCAGCAGUGAGGAAUAUUGGUCAAUGGGCGAGAGCCUGAACCAGCCAAGUAGUGUGCAGGAUGACGGCCCUAUGGGUUGUAAACUGCUUUUAUAAGGGAAUAAAGUGAGUCUCGUGAGACUUUUUGCAUGUACCUUACGAAUAAGGACCGGCUAAUUCCGUGCCAGCAGCCGCAGUAA
rnacentral:rRNA from 1 species